AACGAACGCUGGCGGUAUGCUUAACACAUGCAAGUCGAACGAACAAAAUUGGGGCUUGCUCCAAUUUUAGUGAGUGGCAAACGGGUGAGUAACACGUGGGAAUCUACCUAUCAGUACGGAAUAACAUUUGGAAACAGAUGCUAAUACCGUAUAUUCUCCAAGGAGGAAAGAUUUAUAGCUGAUAGAUGAGCCCGCGCAAGAUUAGGUAGUUGGUAGGGUAAUGGCCUACAAAGCCGACGAUCUUUAGCUGGUCUGAGAGGAUGAUCAGCCACACUGGGAGUGAGACACGGCCCAGACUCCUACGGGAGGCAGCAGGGGGGAAUAUUGGACAAUGGGCGAAAGCCUGAUCCAGCAAUACCGCGUGAAUGAUGAAGGCCUUAGGGUUGUAAAGUUCUUUUAGUUGGAAAGAUAAUGACGGUACCAACAGAAAAAGCCCCGGCUAACUCCGUGCCAGCCGCCGCGGUAA
rnacentral:rRNA from 1 species